rnacentral:rRNA from 1 species
AACGAACGCUGGCGGCAGGCUUAACACAUGCAAGUCGAGCGCCCCGCAAGGGGAGCGGCAGGCGGGUGAGUAACGCGUGGGAAUCUACCCAUCUCUACGGAAUAACGCAUGGAAACGUGUGCUAAUACCGUAUACGUCCUUCGGGAGAAAGAUUUAUCGGAGAUGGAUGAGCCCGCGUUGGAUUAGCUAGUUGGGGGGGUAAAGGCCUACCAAGGCGACGAUCCAUAGCUGGUCUGAGAGGAUGAUCAGCCACACUGGGACUGAGACACGGCCCAGACUCCUACGGGAGGCAGCAGUGGGGAAUAUUGGACAAUGGGCGCAAGCCUGAUCCAGCCAUGCCGCGUGAGUGAUGAAGGCCCUAGGGUUGUAAAGCUCUUUCACCGGUGAAGAUAAUGACGGUAACCGGAGAAGAAGCCCCGGCUAACUUCGUGCCAGCCGCCGCAGUAAAAC